AGCAGCUACGGCGGCAGGGGGCGCAGGUGCCCGACAUUGGGGGACGUUGGUGCUGCGUGGAUCCGGCAGCCCUUUUCUCGCCCCUUCACAGUUUUACUAUUUAGCCCUAAGACUGCCCUGAGAAUGGGGACAGGGUUAGGGACUGUUGCCUCCCUUUUAGAGAUGGAGGAACUGAGGCAGAGGCACCAUAAAUCAAUUACUGAGCAUUUUGUGUAACUAUUAGAAUGUGCGUGUUGGAAAUAAACAUCCGCUUUUUGCAGACGGGUAAACUGAGAGCCAGACGGGUGUAACAACUUGCUUAGAGUGGUAUAGCUAUGAAAUAGGAAGUCUGAGAUUGAAGUUGUGUGGACGUAGUUUUCAUUUCUCUUGGGCAUAUUCCUAGGAGUGAAAUGGCCAGGGCAUAUGGUCACUCUAUGCUUAUUAACCUUUUUAGAAACUGCUAACUUGUUUUCCAAACUGGCUGCACUAUUUUACAUUCCUACCAGCAGUAUAUAUGAAGGUUCUUCACCUCUAAAUCCACAUUUCUUAUGAAAUCUUUUUAAUUAUAGCCACUCUAGUGGGUGUACAGUGGUAUCUUUUUAUUAUUUUUCUUUUUUUAAAUACAUAAUGAGCCAGAGUAAGUACAGCGAUAUCUCAUUGUGGUUUUGAUUUGCAUUCCUGUGAUGGCUAGUGAAGUUGAGCAUCUUUUCAUGAGCUUUUGGCCAUUACAAUAUCUUUCUGAACACACUCCCACCCCUACUUUUUAAGACCAGCUCAGACAGAGUGUCCUUCAAUAGAUCUCUCCCUCGCUGAGCCCAAACGCAGGGAGCUCGUGCAUCUGCCACAGCGUAAACCUGCAGAAAUUGCUGCUAGGAACAUACCCUGCUGAUUCAGAGUCAUAGACAAGCUGCCGGUUUUCUACACAUUCUGUUGCCAAAGGGGCCCCCCUCAGAUCCAUCUUUGUAAAGCAUCACACUAGGCACCAAAAGGAGACAAGUAAAGGGGUUCAUUAAACGCUAAUUGUAAAUUAAGCUGUGUCUAUUCAAGGAAAUUCUAUGCAGUUGUUAAGAAGAGGUAGGUAGCUCUACACAUUCUUGAAGGACAUGUAUCAGUCAGCAGGAAACAGAUGGUGUACUCAGGACUGAACCAAAGAGAAUCUAAAGCGGGGACUGUUGCAGCGGUGUAGUGGGAUGGACAAUAACCUCCCCCCAGUCCAACAUCUGUCCACGUCCUGACUCCUGGAACCUGUGAAUGUGACCUUAUUUGGGAAAAGGAUCUUUGCAAAUGUAAUUAAGCAUCUCAGAAUGAGUUCAUGCUGGAUUAUCCUGCUUGACUCUAAAUCCCACGACAAGCGUCCUUAUAAAAGACACGCAGGGCAAGUCACAUGAAGAUGGAGGCAGACUCUGGAGUGGUGCAGCCACAAGUCAAGAAAUUCCUGGAGCCGCCAGAAGCAGGAAGAGGCAAGGGGGGUUCUCCCCUGUGGCUUUUGCAGCCUUCCGACCUCCAGGACUGGGAGAUUAACUUCCUGUUCUUUUAAGCCACUUGAUUUGUGGUCAUUGUGACAGCAGCUGCAGGAAAGGAAUAUGGGCAGGGUAAAGGGAACCUACAAAGGAUUGUCGAACACCAGGACCCAGCAGCAGUGGGGAGCGAUUACCAGCCCUGGGGCUGAAGGGGCAGAGGAGGACAUUUCCUCACCAGCUAGUGCUCAGUGAGGCCAGGAGAGGUGGAAGAGGGGUGGGCUCUACAGGGCUAGAGCUGCAGAGAUAUACGGCCACUUAUGUGUCAGAGAUAAAUACCCUAUUCCCUUCUCUCUUCCCACCUCCAAUUUUCUGCCGGAGUCUCAGCCGAACCAGCCAAAAGCCGGAGGCGUGAUCACGAGAGCUGCAGUCCACACGGGCAGCAGCUGGUGCACGGAGUGGGGUUAAGGAGCAGGCGCAGAGGCUGGCAGAUGGGCUACUGGAGAAGAACCAGCCACGGGACAAUCUCCAAGAAGCCAGCAAAGUAUCAAAUAACGUGUGACAUCAGCUCUCACUCAGCUCAAAGGUACUGAGAGGACUUCAAGGAAUUGAUCGUACAGUUAUGCUGACCCGUGUGGAAAAUAUAUCAACACAUUGCUAUUUGUUGUAGCAGUGUUUGCAGUAACAAAGGAUUGGCAACGGCCUACAUGCCUAUCAACAGGAAACCGAUGUGUGCCUCCUGGCGCUCUUGCUUAAUGCCAGGCCACAACCCUCCACCCCAUUUGCGUUUUCCUUAUUGGGUGAGAGGCAAGUUGGCUCAGCUGGUCUUUCCGCGGAUGUCAGAGAAGCUGCCGGCAAUUCUACACAUCGACCAGCAGGGGGCGCCAGAGGACCGCGGAUAAGCCCGUGCAGAGCCGCGCACACCUGGGGGAGAUUCUUUGAGCGGCUGAACGGAGACACCUGGGACUUCCACGCCCGCCACACACGUGCCCAACCUGGCCUGGUGCUCAAUGCAUGGGGGCUUAUUCUCGAUUUUACCCCAGAAGGACCGUGCUGAAUAGAGUGCCCCGCUAUCGUUGGUCGGUGAAUAUUUCUGCAUAAAUUGAUUUGAACCUGGAGGAAGUCAAAGAGGGGUCUACAGCAAGAGGGAGCGACCUGGCAGGGCAGGUGGGCGGGGACAUCGUGCUGGCUGAGGUCCCAAGCAGGGAACAGGCCACCGAGGUUCUGAAGCUGUUUCUGCAGAGACGUGGGC